rnacentral:lncRNA from 1 species
GGGAAGGAAGACCGUUGGGGCUACCUGUCUGAAUUCAAGCUCCGGGUGUUGAAGCACUCAGGAUCAGGGUGGCAGAUGGCAAUGCCAAAUCAGGGCAUUACACCAGGAUGCUGGACAGCAAAUGACGGAAGGGCUUGGAAGGGAGGAGAAAAUAGAUGAUCUUGUCCGCAUAAUAAUACAGGGAAGAUGUAUAAAGGAAAUCCUUCGUGGAAUUCUUCCUAAAGCACAUCUGCUUGCUUUGCUGUCUUGCCUAAGUAAAGAACACCAUUGUGAACAGAAUUGAAUUCCUGGAGGCAGGCGGCUUCCCGUGGUUCUGCAUGGCCUACAGGGUAAUGCUAAGACCAGCAGGUGGAAGCCACAGGGAUCUUAAUAUCAGUUCACUGGGGGAAGAACUUUCUACCAUGGAGAGUUCUCUGAGAAUGGAAAUGCUAGACUGCCUUGGGAGGUGGGUAAUGAGUCCCCUGUUUUUAGGGGAAACUGUCGGUGGAGCUGGGUGAACCCAUGGAAGGGCGUCUUUAUCAGUUCGCAUCACCGAAUCAGACAACGUUUAAAUUUAAUGACACUGGCCGGGUGCAGUGGCUCACGCCUAUAAUCCCAGCACUUUGGAAGGAUCACUUGAUGCCAGGAGUUCAAGACCAG